UCGUCUACGGCUGUGUCUUUACAAUCAAGAACCACCCGAGAAAGGUGCUCUUCUAUUUACCAUUCACUAUAUUCUUUAGUGUUUGGUUUCUGCUUGAGCCCACAUAUCGGCUGUUAUCUUUCUACAUCUACCCAGUUCUGCGAAGUCCAAAUAUCUGGAACGGAAUCGACCUGGCGAUGUGUUUUACUGGACACGUCUAUUUCCUGUUUAUAACGCGACCGGACUGUCUUAAUAAACGGUUCCCUUUCCAUCUGCGAGCAGGCAAGAUUUCUUUCCGUGAUGUCGAUGAUGACGUAGAGAACAUCUACCAGCCAUCGAGCGACUUUUAUUCUAUCUUCGAGACUGAGAAGAAAUCGACUUUGACUAUUCCGGAUGAACCAGAGCACUUCUUAACU